rnacentral:rRNA from 1 species
GAUGAACGCUGGCGGCAUGCCUAAUACAUGCAAGUCGAACGAGAGGAAGGGAAGCUUGCUUUCCUGAAUCUAGUGGCGAACGGGUGAGUAACACGUAGGUAACCUGCCCAUGUGCCCGGGAUAACUUCUGGAAACGGAUGCUAAAACCGGAUAGGUAGCAGACAAGCAUUUGACUGCUAUUAAAGUGGCCUUGGCCAUGAACAUGGAUGAGCCCGCGGCGUAUUAGCUAGUUGGUGAGGUAAUGGCCCACCAAGGCAACGAUGCGUAGCCGGCCUGAGAGGGUGAUCGGCCACAUUGGGACUGAGACACGGUCCAGACUCCUACGGGAGGCAGCAGUGGGGAAUAUUGGGCAAUGGGCGAAAGCCUGACCCAGCAACGCCGCGUGAGGGAAGAAGGGUUUCGGCUCGUAAACCUCUGUCCUAUGGGACGAAGGAAGUGACGGUACCAUAGGAGGAAGCCCCGGCUAACUACGUG